GACGAACGCUGGCGGCGUGCCUAAUACAUGCAAGUCGAGCGAGUCUGCCUUGAAGAUCGGAGUGCUUGCACUCUGUGAAACAAGAUACAGGCUAGCGGCGGACGGGUGAGUAACACGUGGGUAAACUGCCCAAGAGAUCGGGAUAACACCUGGAAACAGAUGCUAAUACCGGAUAACAACAGAUGAUGCCUAUCAACUGUUUAAAAGAUGGUUCUGCUAUCACUCUUGGAUGGACCUGCGGUGCAUUAGCUAGUUGGUAGGGUAACGGCCUACCAAGGCGAUGAUGCAUAGCCGAGUUGAGAGACUGAUCGGCCACAUUGGGACUGAGACACGGCCCAAACUCCUACGGGAGGCAGCAGUAGGGAAUCUUCCACAAUGGACGCAAGUCUGAUGGAGCAACGCCGCGUGAGUGAAGAAGGGUUUCGGCUCGUAAAGCUCUGUUGUUGGUGAAGAAGGACAGGGGUAGUAACUGACCUUUGUUUGACGGUAAUCAAUUAGAAAGUCACGGCUAACUACGUG
rnacentral:rRNA from 1 species